UACGUAGGGGGCUAGCGUUGUCCGGAAUCAUUGGGCGUAAAGAGCGUGUAGGCGGUCCGGUAAGUCCGCUGUGAAAGUCGGGGGCUCAACCCUCGAAUGCCGGUGGAUACUGUCGGGCUAGAGUGCGGAAGAGGCGAGUGGAAUUCCUGGUGUAGCGGUGAAAUGCGCAGAUAUCAGGAAGAACACCCGUGGCGAAGGCGGGAUCCUGGGCCAGUACUGACGCUGAGGAGCGAAAGCGUGGGGAGCAACAGG
rnacentral:rRNA from 1 species